CUCAGCUCGCUCUUUGAAGAAAUGGCAUCCAAUGCUUAUCCCAAGCACAGGGAAAUACCACUUAGGAGUCACUGGGUCAAUCUUGAAGACACUAUUGGGAACACAAGUAGGAACAGACAUAUACUAAUGAGAUGUAGAUGCUCUGGGUUACUCUGCAGCCAAGGACCACCAGGAGCCCCCAGCAUCUCUUGCUAUGAGGGACCUCAGAUCUGCAGAGGUGCCUGGGGGGUUAAUGGUCGAUGUUCUUAAAUUGCCAUCCAGCAGAUGAAAGACAGAUGUUUACUUUUAAGACAUUUUAAGACCAGGGAAAAAAGCACUUUGAAAUUUGAAGAAAAAGAAACAGCUCUCUAGUCAAUGCCUUGUAUAGUCUUCUGCUUGUGGAAGGGAUUAGGCUGAAUCAUGGAAAACAAAAAUGUAAAGUUGCAGAUUUCUGGUCUGCCACUUGUCUCAGUGUCACAGUUGUUAAAUCUGAAACUUUUCCCCAAGUUUUUUAGGUUCAGUUUGAAAUUUCAUAAUCUAUUGAGAAGCUUUCUGUCUUGUGCAUCACUCAUGGUAAAAAGUGUGAGAAGAAAGUCAGUUCCCUAUUUUUCUAAGAUUGUAAUACACAAUGAAGGAAAAGAUUUUGUUUAUUCUUCAAGAGCUCUACUGACAUCACACUUCUCUGAAAAAUAAUGGGGUUUUUUUAUGCUAACAAAGUCCUUAUGGUCCAAAGGCAAAGCUGGGCAAAAAACUGCUCUAGUCUUAGCUGACUAAUAUAUUUUUGGGCAGGAUUGACCCUUUGGUUAUCUUACAUGUCAUAACUCUUUUAACUUUCAGGGGCUGCCUAAAGAAAAAGGUGAAUAGAGGGCUGUAAGAAAUAAUUUUAAUCAGCUUUUCUGAACUUUUCCAUGUUUGAAAAACAACUUGUGUUCUUGUGUUACUUUGUAUG